rnacentral:rRNA from 1 species
AGAACGAACGCUGGCGGCAGGCUUAACACAUGCAAGUCGAGCGCCCCGAAAGGGGAGCGGCAGACGGGUGAGUAACGCGUGGGAACGUGCCCUUUGGUCUGGAAUAACUCAGGGAAACUUGAGCUAAUACCGGAUAAGCCCCAAUUUUUUAAUUAAUUUUGGGGGAAAGAUUUAUUGCCAUUGGAGCGGCCCGCGUCAGAUUAGCUAGUUGGUGAGGUAAAAGCUCACCAAGGCUGUGAUCUGUAGCUGUUCUGAGAGGAAGAUCAGCCACACUGGGACUGAGACACGGCCCAGACUCCUACGGGAGGCAGCAGUGGGGAAUAUUGGACAAUGGGGGCAACCCUGAUCCAGCCAUGCCGCGUGAGUGAUGAAGGCCUUAGGGUUGUAAAGCUCUUUUAUCCGGGAAGAUAAUGACUGUACCGGAAGAAUAAGCCCGGCUAACUUCGUGCCAGCAGCCGC